CCGGUAGUUCAGUUGGUUAGAAUGCCUGCCUGUCACGCAGGAGGUCGCGGGUUCGAGUCCCGUCCGG
rnacentral:tRNA from 1 species